rnacentral:RNase_P_RNA from 1 species
UCAGUGGGGCGGCUUGCCGCUGGCCGUCGGCAUUCGUGCCGAAGACGAGAGGAAAGUCCGGGCAACAUAGGGCACUCCGCUACCUAACGGGUAGAAGUCCGCGAGGGCUAGCACGUGCAGAAGAAAAGAACCGCCUCUCAGGAGGUAAGGGUGAGAAGGUGGGGUAAGAGCCCACCAGACGUAUGGCGACAUACGUGCUGUGCACACCGGAGGUUGAAAGUUCGCGUAAACCGGCGCAGCAUCGACUGCGGUCAGCCGACCGUAAGGGUGAGAAAGAGCGGCCCGCUCAAGCCGGAGGGUAGAACGAUAGAGGCGUGACGAGAGUCACGCAGUAGAUAAAUGGCAAGCGCUGCUCCAUGCAGAACAGAACCCGGCUUAUAGCCCCACUGACCCU